UGAGUGUUGUUGUUAUUAUUUGGCAGGUUUAAUAUCAACAUUCUGUGGGUUGACAUUAGUGAUGUUUCUAGGAUCCAAGUGGAGGAAGUCAAAAAUCUUUCGAAUGAAGCUUGAAUUCUUUGGCGCCAGAUGUUAAAGAAGCAGCCAUAGACUUUUAUGAAGUAGAAUUCAUGACUUCUCAUGGAGUUUUUCUUUUAGGUAUCUUUUCAUCAUCUAUACCUGUCACUAGGAGGUAAUCAGGCUUCGGUUUCUGAAGUAAGGGAUUCAUUGACCAUUGUUUGUUAAAGUUCAGCAAAUAGACCAAUCUUCUCUCAUCUAUCGCUAGCGUUGUGUCUUCUGCCGGUACCACUGCCAUUUCCUUCCAUUUUUGGCAAUUGUGUGGGCUAACAUGGAGAAGUGUUAGGAAGCCCAAUUCGGGUACCCUUCCGGCUGAGACUAUAAUCAUUCUCAUUUAACACAAAUCGGCAGUGAAUGACAAGAUGGAGCUAACGACAUAUCUUUCCAAGAGAUUCAGAGGCAGCUCCAAACUAGGAUUACCUGCCUAUCGACAACAUCCUUGGCCUUUUCAUGGGACCGACUGUUAGGUAUUACUUUGAUAUUAUUCUUGAGUAGGAUGGUAUU